rnacentral:rRNA from 1 species
ACUUGGACGUCAAAAUCCUCGAACUUAUAGCCCGCCGUUUAGAGACUGUUGUGGAUUGAGGUGCUGAAGCGCGCGCUCUAAGCUCUUGAUGCGUCGACCGCUGUUGGGUUCGCCGCCGUUGGGGAACAAAGUUCCGUUUCGGUCGGCAGCCUGCACUCGGACGUCGCUCAUUUGUCGCGCUCGGGAUUCUGACGAAAUGGUCGCCAUUCACCCGUCUUGAAACACGGACCAAGGAGUCUUACAUAUAUGCGAGUAAUCGAGUGGAAAACUCGCUUGCGCAAUGAAGGUGAUUGA